rnacentral:rRNA from 1 species
GCCUAAAAUUAAGCCUAACCCACCCUUAUGAAAACCACUUCCAACUGAGCAAUAAUAAAACAUUUUAUCAGUUUAGUAAAGGCGAUUAAAAAACUUUCUAGCGCUUUACUUCUAGUACCGCAAGGGAAAAAAUGAAAUAGUUUUGAAACAGCCAUUAAGCAACCUAUAGCAGAGACUACCCCUCGUACCUUUUGCAUCAUGGUUUAGCUAGUCUUUUUCAAGCAAAGCGAAACAUCAGUUUGACCCCCCGAAACUAAGCGAGCUACUUCAAAACAGCUCAAUGGAGCCAACCCGUCUCUGUCGCAAAAGAGUGGGACGAUUUUUAAGUAGAGGUGAAAAGCCUACCGAGCUUAGAGAUAGCUGGUUAUUCAAGAAAAGAAUUUUAGUUCUACCUUAAGUUUCUGUAUUAACCUCAUAAACCACUUAGACUUAAGAGCUAUUCAAAUGAGGCACAGCUUAUUUGAAAAAGGAUACAACCUAUAAAAAAGGGUAAACCCCCCCCCCAAAAAAAAUAAGUGGGCCUAAAAGCAGCCACCUUUGAGAAAGCGUUAAAGCUCCUUUUUCCAAGAAUAUAAUACCCAAACAUACCUUCAACCCUUUAUUCCUACUGAAUGAUUCUAUACUCACUAUAGAAGCCCCAAUGCUAAAACUAGUAACAAGAAAUUGACCUUCUCCUAAAUAUAAGCAUAAACCAAAAUGGACAAACCAUUGGUUAUUAACGUCAAUUAAAUCAAUAUAGUAACCAUAUCAAGAAAACACUAUUAGUUAUUACGUUAACCUCACACAAGCGUAUUUCCGGAAAGAUUUAAAGAGGGGGAAGGAACUCGGCAAAUAAUAACCUCGCCUGUUUACCAAAAACAUCGCCUCUUGAUAAAAUAUAAGAGGUCCAGCCUGCCCAGUGAUAUAAUUAAACGGCCGCGGUACCCUGACCGUGCAAAGGUAGCAUAAUCACUUGUUCUCUAAAUAGGGACUCGUAUCAACGGCAUCACGAGGGUUAUACUGUCUCCCCCCUCUAAUCAGUGAAACUGACCUCCCCGUGAAGAGGCGGGGAUAUUAAUACAAGACGAGAAGACCCCAUGGAGCUUUAAACCCAAUAACAACCUUCACCAAAGUACCUUAAAAAUGAAGAGGCACUGUUUAUUGGUUUUAGGUUGGGGUGACCACGGAGAAAAACUAAACCUCCAUGACGAAUGGACCUUAAACCUAAUCUAAGAGCCACUACUCCAAGAAUCAUUAAUUUGACAUAAUUUGAUCCGGCAACCGAUCAACGAACCAAGUUUACCCUGGGGAUAACAGCGCAAUCCAUUUCAAGAGCCCCCUAUCGACAAAUGGGUUUACGACCUCGAUGUUGGAUCAGGGUAUCCCAGUGGGUGCAGCCGCUACUAAAGGUUUGUUUGUUCAACAAUUAAAACCCUACGUGAUCUGAGUUCAGACCGGAGUAAUCCAGGUCGGUUUCUAUCUGUAAAGUGUUACUUCUAGUACGAAAGGACUGAAAUAACGUGGCCAAUAUCCCCCCAAGCCACAACCCCUAACUAAUGAACUCAACUCAAUUAGUAAGCCCUAUUAAUAUGUCUUAGCCUAAGACA